UUGAUCCUGGCUCAGAAUCAACGCUGGCGGCGUGCCUCAGACAUGCAAGUCGAACGAUUAAAGCUCUCUUCGGAGAGUGCAUAGAGUGGCGCACGGGUGUGUAACACGUAAGUAAUCUACCCUCGAGUGGGGAAUAACAUCGGGAAACCUAUGCUAAUACCGCAUAAUGCAGCGGCACCGCAAGGUGACAGUUGUUAAAUAUUUAUCGCUUGAGGAGGAGCUUGCGGCAGAUUAGCUAGUUGGUAAGGUUAUGGCUUACCAAGGCUACGAUCUGUAACCGGUCUAAGAGGACGGUCGGUUACACUGACACUGAAUAACGGGUCAGACUCCUACGGGAGGCAGCAGUCGGUAAUUUUGGGCAAUGGGCGAAAGCCUGACCCAGCAACGCCGCGUGAAGGAUGAAGUAUUUCGGUAUGUAAACUUCGAAAGAAUAGGAAGAAUAAAUGACGUUACUAUUUAUAAGGUCCGGCUAACUACGUGCCAGCAGCCGCGGUAAUAAUU
rnacentral:rRNA from 1 species